AGAUCCAAGAGAAGAACCGUUCUUUUUCUUUUUUCUCCAUUUUUUAUCUUAAUCUAGAGCCCUAGGAUGGCCCAAACACCCUACCAGAUUUUUUUGAUAUUUUUUCUCUAAAUUUUCAUAUUAAAAAUCAGAUCCAAUUUAAUUUUUAUUUUAGAAAAAAUAAAAAAAAAAUCUGCGAGAAGAACUCCUUCUUCUCCAAGACUGCGUACAAGAAAAAAGAUCAUUCUUCUUCUGUUAUAGCCCAAAACAAAA
rnacentral:lncRNA from 1 species